rnacentral:rRNA from 1 species
UUAAGCAUAUCAAUAAGCGGAGGAAAAGAAACCAACAGGGAUUGCCCUAGUAACRGCGAGUGAAGCGGCAACAGCUCAAAUUUGAAAUCUGGCCCUCAUGAGRGGGUCCGAGUUGUAAUUUGCAGAGGGUGCUUUGGCAUCAGAGGCGGUCUAAGUUCCUUGGAACAGGACAUCACAGAGGGUGAGAAUCCCGUACGUGGUCGCCCCUCGUUGCCGUGUAUUGCCCCUUCGACGAGUCGAGUUGUUUGGGAAUGCAGCUCUAAAUGGGAGGUAAAUUUCUUCUAAAGCUAAAUACUGGCCAGAGACCGAUAGCGCACAAGUAGAGUGAUCGAAAGAUGAAAAGCACUUUGGAAAGAGAGUCAAAUAGCACGUGAAAUUGUUGAAAGGGAAGCGCUUGCAGAGAGACUUGCCCGUAGGCGAUUACCUCCUACCGGGCAGGCCGGCAUCAGUUUGGGCAGUCGGAUAAAGGCCUCUGUCACGUAUCUUCCUUCGGGAUGACCUUAUAGGGGAGGCGUAAUGCGGCUAGCCUGGACUGAGGUCCGCGCGUAUGCUAGGAUGCCGGCGUAAUGUCUGCAAGCGGCCCGUCUUGAAACACGGACCAAGGAGUCUAACAUCUAUGCGAGUGUUUGGGUGUCAAGCCCGGACGCGCAAUGAAAGUGAACGGAGGUGGGAACCCUCUCUGGGGGUGCACCAUCGACCGAUCCUGAUGUCUUCGGAUGGAUUUGAGUAAGAGCAUAGCUGUUGGGACCCGAAAGAUGGUGAACUAUGCUUGAAUAGGGUGAAGCCAGAGGAAACUCUGGUGGAGGCUCGCAGCGGUUCUGACGUGCAAAUCGAUCGUCAAAU